CGCGCUCCAGACUGCUCCACUUUCAAGUUGCUUCCGUCGGGCCUGAUUAUUGCCAUUGCCAAAGUCGAGACAAACUAACUAGGUGUUGAUUUGGCAUAACGUGACAGAACUUAUCACAGGAACAAGAAAGGAUAUCGAAAACGCGUGCGAAACUCGGCCCAAGUAUAGUUCAGGACUGUUGGACAAUCACAAAGCGUUUCCGUUUCAUUUUGCUUUAGCAAGUUGUUGCCGAAUGCCGGCAUGGAAUUCUCUCUGUACGUAUUUCUGUUCACUCUGUUUAUUGCACAUGACAAGCUAAGCACAAGCUCAUCUCCAAGUCGAAACACAAGGAACGGAGUACAACAACUUCCACUCGACAAUAUCUCGCCUGCAACCUUUGCAAGCAAAGAUACUAAAACAAGUGCAGUUUUUAACAGUAAUUGUCAGUAUUUUAAUAAGUUUGGACGUUUCAGUUCUUGGACUUGCAAUACUCCACGUGGGACGAACUUUGCAUCUGCAAAAUUAGUUAUUAAA